rnacentral:rRNA from 1 species
CCUUCCAGGUAUAAUUUCAUGAGAACACACUAAAUCUUGUUUCAUUUCAGAAGCUGAGCAGAAUCAGUGCUUGUUAAUUCUUGGAUGGGAUACCACUAAGGAAUACCAAGGAUUUCCAGGUAGGG